AAAACGCAGGAGCAGAGAAAGAAGAGGAAGGGAAGAAGAGAAGAAUAAUUCGAAGCUAAGAAGAGACCACGAGAAGCUACAAACAUAGAGCAGUGGGUGAUCAUGUAAGACUAUGAGCACUCCAAACAAGAAGUUGAUGGUCUAUCCUCUCUCCAAGAGUCCCUCGUUGCUGUCACCCUCACAAAUCUCACCAACGGCUUCCGGGCAAGACACAAAGUCGACAUCAAGCCCUCAUUCACAGCCGUAGUGUCACUCCAUGCUGCACUUGCUUUCGAUGCCUAUACUGCGGUGCGUCCUGCGUAUAGGUGGCGGAAGCAAGCUUCAAGUUCAAGGGGGUUCACCAUACUUGUUUUUGAUGCCUGUAUCGCGGUGCGUCCUGCAUAU